rnacentral:tRNA from 1 species
GGGCCAUUAGCUCAGCCUGGUUAACGAGGUUUUUCGAGCUUGGUCAAAAAGCGCAGGUCUUAUAAGCCUGAGAGCCGGGGUUCAAAUCCCCGAUGGCCCA